GCCUCCAGUUUCCCUUCACUCCCGAGCUAACAGGCUUCCCCAGACACAGAAGGGAGAAAGGAAGCAAGCCUCCCUGGACUGCAGCUACCCCAGUUCCUACGCGACACCACACUCACCAGCCUCUUGGAAAGGCAGGCAGAGUUCACUGGCUCCCAUGAAAACACCAGAAUCAAAGGUCAAGGAGAUUUCUGGUGUGGCACUCAUGUGGACCAGCCAUGUCCUCAGGCUACUGGCAGCUGACUCCAGUGAGUUCGGUCAGCCUCCAAGGACCAAAAAGCAUUAAGAACAGCAGCACCAGCCAUCAGCCUGACAUGAGCUAAGAUCUUAUAAGCUGGAAUGUCAGUUAGCAUUACACAGCCUUGGGAAUAACAAUGAAAUGCCACUGAAGGCUUCACUCUGAUUGAGAGACUGCUCUUGUUAUGGUGCCAGUCCUGUGACAAGGCAUGCCACCUAUCAAAGAGAAAAGGAAAGUUCCAGAAACUCUUCACCGUUUCAGAAAACCAUAGCUGGAAUGUUCCAGAAAACUUAGUCAUCUGGACAUUAAAGAUGAUCUGACUCCA